UACGUAGGGGGCAAGCGUUGUCCGGAAUCAUUGGGCGUAAAGCGCGUGUAGGCGGUCCGGUAAGUCCGCUGUGAAAGUCGGGGGCUCAACCCUCGGAUGCCGGUGGAUACUGUCGGGCUUGAGUACGGAAGAGGCGAGUGGAAUUCCUGGUGUAGCGGUGAAAUGCGCAGAUAUCAGGAGGAACACCAAUUGCGAAGGCGGCUCGCUGGGACGUUACUGACGCUGAGGCACGAAAGCGUGGGGAGCAAACAGG
rnacentral:rRNA from 1 species